rnacentral:rRNA from 1 species
GUUUAUCUAAUUGUUCUUUAAAAAAUUGGAAACAAGCUGAAAACAAGAGAUUUUCGAGAGAAAGUCUGAGUAGGCAAGACGGGAAAGUGAAAAGAGGGAACGGAAAAGGAAACUCUGAAAGCAAACCUGUUUUGCAUAAAAUCUUGAUUGAACAAAAGCAAUCAAGUGUUUAGUUGAAUGAAAAUACGCAUCAAAUUGAGCGCACUUUGAAGUGAAAACGUAAAGUGAUUGAAAACAUUUGAGGUUGUAUAGUUAAGUGACUAAGCGUACAAGGUGGAUGCCUUGGCAAUCAGAGGCGAAGAAGGACGUGCUAAUCUGCGAAAAGCUUGGAUGAGUCGAUAAGAGGCGUUUAAUCCAAGAUAUCCGAAUGGGGAAACCCAGUAGAUGAAGAAUCUACUAUCAACAAGUGAAUUCAUAGCUUGUUGAGGCAAACCGGGAGAACUGAAACAUCUAAGUACCCCGAGGAAAAGAAAUCAACCGAGAUUUCGUCAGUAGCGGCGAGCGAAAGCGAAAGAGCCAGUAAGUGAUAGCAGUAUAGUUAGGAGAAUGUGUUGGGAAGCACAAUCAAAGAGGGUGAUAAUCCCGUAUCUAAAAACCAUAUUGUGGUACUAAGCUAACGAGAAGUAGGGCGGGACACGUGAUAUCCUGUUUGAAGAAGGGGGGACCAUCCUCCAAGGCUAAAUACUCCUGAUUGACCGAUAGUGAACCAGUACUGUGAAGGAAAGGCGAAAAGAACCCCGGUGAGGGGAGUGAAAUAGAACCUGAAACCUUGUACGUACAAGCAGUGGGAGCCCCAUCACUUAAUCCGAUUGGAAGGUGAUGAAAAGCAACCGCACUUAAACAAUGGUAAGAGGAGCGAAGCGAGUCAAACCACCCAAAAGAAGCAGUGGGAUUAAGUGAUGGGGUGACUGCGUACCUUUUGUAUAAUGGGUCAGCGACUUAUAUUUUGUAGCGAGGUUAACCGAAUAGGGGAGCCGAAGGGAAACCGAGUCUUAACUGGGCGAAUAGUUGCAAGGUAUAGACCCGAAACCCGGUGAUCUAGCCAUGGGCAGGUUGAAGGUUGGGUAACACUAACUGGAGGACCGAACCGACUAAUGUUGAAAAAUUAGCGGAUGACUUGUGGCUGGGGGUGAAAGGCCAAUCAAACCGGGAGAUAGCUGGUUCUCCCCGAAAUCUAUUUAGGUAGAGCCUUGAGGUGACACCUUUGGGGGUAGAGCACUGUUUCGGCUAGGGGGCCAUCCCGGCUUACCAACCCGAUGCAAACUACGAAUACCAAAGAGUGAUACUCAGGAGACACACGGCGGGUGCUAACGUCCGUCGUGGAGAGGGAAACAACCCAGACCGCCAGCUAAGGUCCCCAAGUCUAUAUUAAGUGGGAAACGAAGUGGGAAGGCUUAGACAGCUAGGAUGUUGGCUUAGAAGCAGCCAUCAUUUAAAGAAAGCGUAAUAGCUCACUAGUCGAGUCGGCCUGCGCGGAAGAUGUAACGGGGCUGAAAUAUAGCACCGAAGCUGCGGCAUCAG